UACGUAGGGGGCAAGCGUUGUCCGGAAUCAUUGGGCGUAAAGCGCGUGUAGGCGGUUCGGUAAGUCCGCUGUGAAAGUCCAGGGCUCAACCCUGGGAUGCCGGUGGAUACUGUCGGGCUAGAGUACGGAAGAGGCGAGUGGAAUUCCCGGUGUAGCGGUGAAAUGCGCAGAUAUCGGGAAGGAACACCAAUUGCGAAGGC
rnacentral:rRNA from 1 species